rnacentral:rRNA from 1 species
CCUACGGGUGGCUGCAGUGGGGAAUAUUGGACAAUGGGCGAAAGCCUGAUCCAGCCAUGCCGCGUGUGUGAAGAAGGCCUUCGGGUUGUAAAGCACUUUCAGUGGGGAAGAAAGCCUUGGGGCUAAUACCCUCGAGGAAGGACAUCACCCACAGAAGAAGCACCGGCUAACUCCGUGCCAGCAGCCGCGGUAAACGGAGGGUGCGAGCGUUAAUCGGAAUUACUGGGCGUAAAGCGCGCGUAGGCGGUCUGAUAAGCCGGUUGUGAAAGCCCCGGGCUCAACCUGGGAACGGCAUCCGGAACUGUCAGGCUAGAGUGCAGGAGAGGAAGGUAGAAUUCCCGGUGUAGCGGUGAAAUGCGUAGAGAUCGGGAGGAAUACCAGUGGCGAAGGCGGCCUUCUGGACUGACACUGACGCUGAGGUGCGAAAGCGUGGGUAGCAAACAGGAUGAGAUACCCGGGUAGUC